rnacentral:lncRNA from 1 species
UCACAUUCAUCGCAAGUUUAUAUGACACAAGGACAGCAUGUCUCAUUUGAUACCACUCUACUCUAACAGGAGAUUUGGAACGUUGGUUUCAAUCCUACGUCAUGCAGUCUGUCAUCUGGAUCAGAAGGCGGGAGCCAUGGAAGAGCAAGAGGAGCUUCUGGUGCAGCAUGCACUUUCCUAUAUGUAAAUAUUCCCUUCCCUUGUAAAUAUCACCUCUCCUAACAACAUCCUCCACAUAUUUACUGUAAAAGUGUUGUUUAAUAAAAUAUUUUUUGCAAGAGAUCCAAGUAUGUUGUUUGUUUCUUUGUUGACAUAAAGCAAAAGUUGGAAGUGUGGCAUUAAGGUUUCAAGGGACAUUGCAGGUAAAUGAGGUAUGGAUUGCCAACUAGAAAGGGUCCUCUGGAGAAGAGGAAAGCAUAAAACAUUGCUGCUGUGUGACUCUGGCUGUGUGCACGGGUCUCUCAUCUAAUACUAUAUCAUGGUGAGAGUUGGGAUACUUGGGGGUUUUGGGUAGCCUCUCCAAGCAUCUGAGAUUCAGCUCCACUGUGGGCAUGGAGAGUUGGACACCUCCUCCUGGGUCUGGGGGGUGAGCGGUUGAAGAAUGCUAUUGGAGUGCAUUCCUAGCUGUCUUGUCUUUGUGGCUGCCCCCUGAUCCUGGGACACUGCACGGUUUGCAGGGAUAUGUCCAUUGACAGUGGCACCACCCACCACAUCUGAAAAUGUGUUUGAGGUGCUCCACCAGUCAGACUAGCAGCCCUCUCUUUGCCUUGAUGAUGUCAUUGAGUUGGCCCUGAUAGCUACAUUAUUGCUAUCACUGACUCUGUCUAAACUCUGCAUCCUUCUCCCUGAAUGCCGUCUCCUCCCUGAACUCCUGUAGAUGUGGAUCAUCUCCAAUGCUUCAUCAACUCCCUUGUGUUUGUGGCAGAGUACAGGAGGAUGCUAUCUGUGGCACUGGCCAUGGUUGCAGUAAUGGUACUCUCUCUCUUCCAGCAGUGCUUGGCC